rnacentral:lncRNA from 1 species
UGCAAAUUAUAAAGUGAUUUUAGUAAGACGAAAACCAGAUCCAAAACUCGAUCAAAGAUGCCAACCUUGUUUAAGGUGUGGAGUGUGACCUGACACCUGAGCGGCAGCGGCAGCAUAGGAGAAGACCGGUGGAAGGAGCGACUGGAAUGAGGCUGAUGCUGCUGCAAAGACGUCGUCGGUGGGAUGAGCGACUAGAAUGAGGGCUGAUGCUGCUGCGAAGACGUGGCCGGUGGGAGUCAACGUCAGAGGGGCCGCGCCGCGCCGCCUACGUGGCUGUGAGAGUCGACGGUGGGAGCAACUAGGCCGCGCCGGUGGCAAACGAAGAGGGAAGGGCCGCGUCGGGCCGCCGAUGUGGCCGUGCGAGUCGGCAUCGACGGUGAGAGUCAACGUCAGGUGCGGUGGCCGGUGGG